rnacentral:rRNA from 1 species
UGAGUAACGCGUGGGAAUAUGCCCUUCUCUAAGGAAUAGCCUCUGGAAACGGAGAGUAAUACCUUAUACGCCCUUCGGGGGAAAGAUUUAUCGGAGAAGGAUUAGCCCGCGUUAGAUUAGGUAGUUGGUGGGGUAAUGGCCUACCAAGCCUACGAUCUAUAGCUGGUUUGAGAGGAUGAUCAGCCACACUGGGACUGAGACACGGCCCAGACUCCUACGGGAGGCAGCAGUAGGGAAUCUUAGACAAUGGGGGAAACCCUGAUCUAGCCAUGCCGCGUGUGUGAUGAAGGCCUUAGGGUCGUAAAGCACUUUCGCCAGAGAUGAUAAUGACAGUAUCUGGUAAAGAAACCCCGGCUAACUCCGUGCCAGCAGCCGCGGUAAUACGGAGGGGGUUAGCGUUGUUCGGAAUUACUGGGCGUAAAGCGCACGUAGGCGGAUUAGUAAGUUAGAGGUGAAAUCCCAGGGCUCAACCCUGGAACUGCCUUUAAUACUGCUAGUCUUGAGUUCGAGAGAGGUAAGUGGAAUUCCAAGUGUAGAGGUGAAAUUCGUAGAUAUUUGGAGGAACACCAGUGGCGAAGGCGGCUUACUGGCUCGAUACUGACGCUGAGGUGCGAAAGUGUGGGGAGCAAACAGGAUUAGAUACCCUGGUAGUCCACACCGUAAACGAUGAAUGCCAGACGUCAGCAAGUAUACUUA